rnacentral:rRNA from 1 species
GAUCAUGGCUCAGGAUGAACGCUAGCUACAGGCUUAACACAUGCAAGUCGAGGGGCAACAUGACGAUAGCUUGCUAUUGUUGCUGGCGACCGGCGCACGGGUGAGUAACGCGUAUCCAACCUUCCCAUAGCUAGGGAAUAACCUUGCGAAAGUAAGACUAAUGCCCUAUAACAUUCUUUGCAGACAUCUAAAGAGAAUUAAAGAUUUAUCGGCUAUGGAUGGGGAUGCG